rnacentral:rRNA from 1 species
UACGUAGGGGGCAAGCGUUGUCCGGAAUCACUGGGCGUAAAGGGCGCGUAGGCGGCCAGCACAAGUCAGUUGUGAAAUCUCCGAGCUUAACUCGGAAAGGUCAACUGAUACUGUGCGGCUAGAGUGCGGAAGGGGCAACUGGAAUUCUUGGUGUAGCGGUGAAAUGCGUAGAUAUCAAGAGGAACACCUGCGGCGAAGGCGGGUUGCUGGGCCGACACUGACGCUGAGGCGCGAAAGCCAGGGGAGCGAACGGG